UAGAAACGAAAGCGACCUGUUUGGCAUUAUCGUUUGUAUUGAAUUCGUUCAUUUUCUUGAAUUGCCGUUUUGCAGCUGCCUUCAUUCCCACUCAGCAGUUUAAAUUUCUCUACGACCAUAACGACGAUCUUGUUCAAGAUGAAAUCUUAUCGUCAUUGGACUCGGUUCAUCUGCACUAGCUUCAAUCGAUUUGAAUCGAAUUUCCCUCAAAAUUCUCGUGUUUUCUCUCAUUUUUCCGGUGAUUUUGAGCAGGAAUCAUGGAAUUCUGCAGAGGGUCUUGUGCGUUGCUCUGCAAAUUACGUUCCUUUGUCUCCUAUAAGCUUAUUGGAGCGAGCUGCCAAGGUGUAUAGAGACAGGACCUCUGUUAUAUAUGGUUCUGUUAAGUAUAGUUGGAGUGACACUUACGAUCGUUGUCUCAGGCUGGCUUCUGCCUUAACUCAGUUGGGAAUUUCCCGUGGCGAUGUGGUUGCGACAUUGGCCCCUAAUGUUCCAGCAAUGUAUGAGCUGCAUUUUGCAGUCCCAAUGGCAGGAGCAGUUCUUUGUACACUUAAUGCACGCCACGACUCAAAUAUGGUUUCUGUCCUGUUGAAACAUUCGGAAGCUAAGAUCAUAUUUGUAGACUAUCAGUUACUUGAUGUUGCUCGUAAAGCAUUUGAGCAUCUUGCAAAGACCGAAGCAAAACCACCCAUGCUGGUCUUUAUUUCUGAAUCUGAUGGUUUCUCGCCCAUUGGCUUCAAUUCGAGCACUUACGAGUAUGAAAGUCUCCUGGCAAAUGGACAUAAUAGAUUUGAGAUUAGACGACCAAAAAGUGAAUGGGAUCCCAUCAGCAUAAAUUAUACUUCUGGCACAACAUCAAGACCCAAAGGAGUUGUUUAUAGUCACAGGGGGGCAUAUCUUAAUUCCCUUUCAACGGUUUUCCUUCAUGGGAUCGGAGCAAUGCCUAUUUACCUUUGGACUGUGCCCAUGUUUCAUUGCAAUGGGUGGUGCCUUAUUUGGGGAGUGGCAGCGCAGGGUGGCACUAACGUAUGCCUUAGAAAAGUAUCUCCAAAGGACAUUUUUGACAGUAUAGUACAUCACAAAGUGACAAACAUGGGAGGGGCACCGACUGUUUUGAACAUGAUUGUGAAUUCAGCAGUUUGUGACCAAAAACCACUUCCUCACAAAGUGGAAGUUAUGACCGGGGGUGCACCACCACCCCCUCAAAUCCUUCUCAAGAUGGAAGAAUUGGGUUUUGGUGUAUCUCACUUGUAUGGCCUUACAGAAACUUACGGUCCAGGGACUUACUGUGCAUGGAAACCUGAAUGGGAUUCACUGCCUCAUAAUGAGAGAUUAAAGUUGAAAACCCGACAAGGGGUGCACCAUCUUGGCUUGGAGGAUGUUGAUGUAAGAGAUCCUAUCACUGAGGAAAGUGUGCCUGCUGAUGGUAAAACGAUAGGUGAAGUUGUGUUCAGAGGAAACACUGUAAUGAGUGGGUACUUUAAAGACUUGGAAGAAACAGAGAAAGCUUUCAGAGGUGGAUGGUUUCGAAGUGGGGAUCUUGCUGUGAAACAUCCUGAUGGUUACAUAGAAGUAAAGGACCGCUUGAAGGAUAUUAUAAUCUCUGGGGGAGAGAAUAUAAGCACAGUUGAAGUAGAAACGGUUUUAUAUAGUCAUCCCGCAAUUUUCGAGGCUGCAGUAGUUGCACGGCCAGAUGAUCACUGGGGACAAACACCAUGUGCAUUUGUUAAGUUAAAAGAGGGUUUUGAUGUGAGUGCACAAGAUAUAAUCAAGUUUUGCAGGGACCACUUGCCGCAUUAUAUGGCUCCUCGGACUGUCAUUUUUGAGGAUUUGCCAAGAACCUCAACGGGGAAGGUGCAGAAGUUUAUUCUGAGGGAGAAAGCAAAGGCAAUGGGCAGCCUCUCUUGAGAUAAAAAAAAAUAAUAAUAACGAUUUGUAAAUCCAUGUUUCCUUGGAAAAUAAGAAUUUCGUUAUUUCAAAAAAAAAA
rnacentral:misc_RNA from 1 species